AGAGUUUGAUCCUGGCUCAGAACGAACGCUGGCGGCGUGGAUAAGACAUGCAAGUCGAACGAGAACUAUGAAUAGCUUGCUAAUUGUAGUUCUAGUGGCGGACGGGUGCGUAACACGUGAGCAACCUACCCUAAAGUGGGGGAUAGCCUUUCGAAAGGAAGAUUAAUACCGCAUGUGAUCUUAGGAUCAAAGGUGCCUUCGGGUGCCGCUUUGGGAUGGGCUCGCGGCCUAUCAGUUAGUUGGUGAGGUAACGGCUCACCAAGACGACGACGGGUAGCUGGUCUGAGAGGACGAUAAGCCUCACUGGAACUGAGACACGGUCCAGACACCUACGGGUGGCAGCAGUCGAGAAUCAUUCACAAUGGACGAAAGUCUGAUGGUGCAACGCCGCGUGGAGGAUGAAGGCCCUAGGGUCGUAAACUCCUGUCAUCGGAGAGUAAGCCUUGGUCGUUAAUAGCUUCCAAGGUUGAUAGUAUCCGAAGAGGAAGGGACGGCUAACUUCGUGCCAGCAGCCGCGGUAAUACGAAGGUCCCAAGCGUUGUUCGGAAUCACUGGGCGUAAAGAGUAUGUAGGCGGUUUGGAAAGUCAGAUGUGAAAGCCCGAGGCUCAACCUCGGAACUGCAUCCGAUACUCCCAAACUUGAGUAAUGGAGGGGUAACUGGAAUUCUCGGUGUAGCAGUGAAAUGCGUAGAUAUCGAG
rnacentral:rRNA from 1 species